rnacentral:rRNA from 1 species
CCUACGGGAGGCAGCAGUAGGGAAUAUUGCUCAAUGGGGGAAACCCUGAAGCAGCCACGCCGCGUGGAGGAUGAAGGUUUUCGGGUUGUAAACUCCUUUUGUUAGAGAAGAUAAUGACGGUAUCUGACGAAUAAGCACCGGCUAACUCCGUUCCAGCAGCCGCGGUAAUACGGAGGGUGCAAGCGUUAUUCGGAAUCACUGGGCGUAACGAGGGCGUAGGCGGGUUAGCAAGUCAGUUGUGAAAUCCUGUGGCUUAACCAUAGAACUGCAUUUGAAACUGUUAUUCUAGAGUAUGGGAGAGGUAGGUGGAAUUCUUGGUGUAGCGGUAAAAUCCGUAGAGAUCAAGAGGAAUACUGAUUGCGAAGGCGGCCUGCUAGAACGUAACUGACGCUGAUGCGCGAAAGCGUGGGUAGCAAACAGGAUUAGAUACCCGAGUAGUC